rnacentral:rRNA from 1 species
GAUGAACGCUGGCGGCGUGCCUAAUACAUGCAAGUCGAGCGAACAGAUGAGGAGCUUGCUCCUCUGACGUUAGCGGCGGACGGGUGAGUAACACGUGGAUAACCUACCUAUAAGACUGGGAUAACUUCGGGAAACCGGAGCUAAUACCGGAUAAUAUAUUGAACCGCAUGGUUCAAUAGUGAAAGACGGUUUUGCUGUCACUUAUAGAUGGAUCCGCGCCGCAUUAGCUAGUUGGUAAGGUAACGGCUUACCAAGGCAACGAUGCGUAGCCGACCUGAGAGGGUGAUCGGCCACACUGGAACUGAGACACGGUCCAGACUCCUACGGGAGGCAGCAGUAGGGAAUCUUCCGCAAUGGGCGAAAGCCUGACGGAGCAACGCCGCGUGAGUGAUGAAGGUCUUCGGAUCGUAAAACUCUGUUAUUAGGGAAGAACAGAUGUGGAAGUAACUAUGCACGUCUUGACGGUACCUAAUCAGAAAGCCACGGCUAACUACGUG